AUGCGUGGGGUGGGGGCGCAGUCACCACGCUCACACCAUUUUCUUUUCUUUUUUGAGAAGAUGCUCGCACCUUCUAGAAGGCGAAGAAGAUUCGGCGGGGAUCACCACGCCACGCAACGCAAGCGAGGACGAAGGCGGCGUGUGACAUGGACAAUGACGGAGUUGGAAAUGCUUCCUGGUGCUUCUCCGCGGGCGAGGGAACCCAAGAUUACCCAAGAAACCAAUCUGGUUCGAGUAAAAUUUCAAACAGAUUCAGCACAAACCCUCCCAGGUUCGACACAGAUCCUAGAAAACGUGGUGGCAUUGAAAAUGCUGACAGCCAUCAAUCGCAGUAGCUAG
rnacentral:rRNA from 1 species